CAGGUCAGGCGGGGCUACCCGCUGAAUUUAAGCAUAUCAAUAAGC
rnacentral:rRNA from 1 species